rnacentral:rRNA from 1 species
GUGGGGAAUAUUGGACAAUGGGCGAAAGCCUGAUCCAGCCAUGCCGCGUGUGUGAAGAAGGUCUUCGGAUUGUAAAGCACUUUAAGUUGGGAGGAAGGGCAGUAAGUUAAUACCUUGCUGUUUUGACGUUACCGACAGAAUAAGCACCGGCUAACUUCGUGCCAGCAGCCGCGGUAAUACGAAGGGUGCAAGCGUUAAUCGGAAUUACUGGGCGUAAAGCGCGCGUAGGUGGUUUUGUAAGUUGGAGGUGAAAGCCCCGGGCUCAACCUGGGAACUGCCUCCAAAACUGCAUGACUAGAGUACGGUAGAGGGUAGUGGAAUUUCCUGUGUAGCGGUGAAAUGCGUAGAUAUAGGAAGGAACACCAGUGGCGAAGGCGACUACCUGGACUGAUACUGACACUGAGGUGCGAAAGCGUGGGGAGCAAACAGGAUUAGAAACCCGGGUAGUCC